GAGUUUGAUCAUGGCUCAGGAUAAACGCUGGCGGCGUGCCUAAUCAAUGCGAGUCGAACGGGCACCUUCGGGUGUCAGUGGCGUCCGGGUGAGUAACGCGUAGCUAACCUGCCUCCAUGUGGGGGAUACCCGUCAGAAAUGGCGGCUAAUACCGCAUAGCGUGACACGGGGCAACCUGUGGCACGAAAGCCGCAAGGUGCAAGGAGAGGAGGCUGCGUCUGAUUAGCUGGUCGGUGGGGUAACGGCCUACCGAGGCGACGAUCAGUAGCUGGUCUGAGAGGAUGGUCAGCCACACUGGGACUGAGACAUGGUCCAGAGCUCUACGGGGUUUAGCAUGAAGGGAUAUUGCGCAAUGGGCGAAAGCCUGACGCAGCAACGCCGCGUGUGGGACGACGCCUCUCGGGGUGUAAACCACUUUUCCCAGGGAAGAAGGAUGUGACGGUACCUGGGGAAGAAGCCUUGGCUAAGUACGUGCCAGCAGCCGCGGUAAU
rnacentral:rRNA from 1 species